GGGUUGUGAGGUUAAGCGACUAAGCGUACACGGUGGAUGCCCUGGCAGUCAGAGGCGAUGAAGGACGUGCUAAUCUGCGAUAAGCGUCGGUAAGGUGAUAUGAACCGUUAUAACCGGCGAUUUCCGAAUGGGGAAACCCAGUGUGUUUCGACACACUAUCAUUAACUGAAUCCAUAGGUUAAUGAGGCGAACCGGGGGAACUGAAACAUCUAAGUACCCCGAGGAAAAGAAAUCAACCGAGAUUCCCCCAGUAGCGGCGAGCGAACGGGGAGCAGCCCAGAGCCUGAAUCAGUGUGUGUGUUAGUGGAAGCGUCUGGAAAGGCGCGCGAUACAGGGUGACAGCCCCGUACACAAAAAUGCACAUGCUGUGAGCUCGAUGAGUAGGGCGGGGCACGUGGUAUCCUGUCUGAAUAUGGGGGGACCAUCCUCCAAGGCUAAAUACUCCUGACUGACCGAUAGUGAACCAGUACCGUGAGGGAAAGGCGAAAAGAACCCCGGCGAGGGGAGUGAAAAAGAACCUGAAACCGUGUACGUACAAGCAGUGGGAGCACGCUUAGGCGUGUGACUGCGUACCUUUUGUAUAAUGGGUCAGCGACUUAUAUUCUGUAGCAAGGUUAACCGAAUAGGGGAGCCGAAGGGAAACCGAGUCUUAACUGGGCGUUAAGUUGCAGGGUAUAGACCCGAAACCCGGUGAUCUAGCCAUGGGCAGGUUGAAGGUUGGGUAACACUAACUGGAGGACCGAACCGACUAAUGUUGAAAAAUUAGCGGAUGACUUGUGGCUGGGGGUGAAAGGCCAAUCAAACCGGGAGAUAGCUGGUUCUCCCCGAAAGCUAUUUAGGUAGCGCCUCGUGAAUUCAUCUCCGGGGGUAGAGCACUGUUUCGGCAAGGGGGUCAUCCCGACUUACCAACCCGAUGCAAACUGCGAAUACCGGAGAAUGUUAUCACGGGAGACACACGGCGGGUGCUAACGUCCGUCGUGAAGAGGGAAACAACCCAGACCGCCAGCUAAGGUCCCAAAGUCAUGGUUAAGUGGGAAACGAUGUGGGAAGGCCCAGACAGCCAGGAUGUUGGCUUAGAAGCAGCCAUCAUUUAAAGAAAGCGUAAUAGCUCACUGGUCGAGUCGGCCUGCGCGGAAGAUGUAACGGGGCUAAACCAUGCACCGAAGCUGCGGCAGCGACACUAUGUGUUGUUGGGUAGGGGAGCGUUCUGUAAGCCUGUGAAGGUGUGCUGUGAGGCAUGCUGGAGGUAUCAGAAGUGCGAAUGCUGACAUAAGUAACGAUAAAGCGGGUGAAAAGCCCGCUCGCCGGAAGACCAAGGGUUCCUGUCCAACGUUAAUCGGGGCAGGGUGAGUCGACCCCUAAGGCGAGGCCGAAAGGCGUAGUCGAUGGGAAACAGGUUAAUAUUCCUGUACUUGGUGUUACUGCGAAGGGGGGACGGAGAAGGCUAUGUUGGCCGGGCGACGGUUGUCCCGGUUUAAGCGUGUAGGCUGGUUUUCCAGGCAAAUCCGGAAAAUCAAGGCUGAGGCGUGAUGACGAGGCACUACGGUGCUGAAGCAACAAAUGCCCUGCUUCCAGGAAAAGCCUCUAAGCAUCAGGUAACAUCAAAUCGUACCCCAAACCGACACAGGUGGUCAGGUAGAGAAUACCAAGGCGCUUGAGAGAACUCGGGUGAAGGAACUAGGCAAAAUGGUGCCGUAACUUCGGGAGAAGGCACGCUGAUAUGUAGGUGAAGUCCCUCGCGGAUGGAGCUGAAAUCAGUCGAAGAUACCAGCUGGCUGCAACUGUUUAUUAAAAACACAGCACUGUGCAAACACGAAAGUGGACGUAUACGGUGUGACGCCUGCCCGGUGCCGGAAGGUUAAUUGAUGGGGUCAGCGCAAGCGAAGCUCUUGAUCGAAGCCCCGGUAAACGGCGGCCGUAACUAUAACGGUCCUAAGGUAGCGAAAUUCCUUGUCGGGUAAGUUCCGACCUGCACGAAUGGCGUAAUGAUGGCCAGGCUGUCUCCACCCGAGACUCAGUGAAAUUGAACUCGCUGUGAAGAUGCAGUGUACCCGCGGCAAGACGGAAAGACCCCGUGAACCUUUACUAUAGCUUGACACUGAACAUUGAGCCUUGAUGUGUAGGAUAGGUGGGAGGCUUGGAAGUGUGGACGCCAGUCUGCAUGGAGCCGACCUUGAAAUACCACCCUUUAAUGUUUGAUGUUCUAACGUUGACCCGUAAUCCGGGUUGCGGACAGUGUCUGGUGGGUAGUUUGACUGGGGCGGUCUCCUCCUAAAGAGUAACGGAGGAGCACGAAGGUUGGCUAAUCCUGGUCGGACAUCAGGAGGUUAGUGCAAUGGCAUAAGCCAGCUUGACUGCGAGCGUGACGGCGCGAGCAGGUGCGAAAGCAGGUCAUAGUGAUCCGGUGGUUCUGAAUGGAAGGGCCAUCGCUCAACGGAUAAAAGGUACUCCGGGGAUAACAGGCUGAUACCGCCCAAGAGUUCAUAUCGACGGCGGUGUUUGGCACCUCGAUGUCGGCUCAUCACAUCCUGGGGCUGAAGUAGGUCCCAAGGGUAUGGCUGUUCGCCAUUUAAAGUGGUACGCGAGCUGGGUUUAGAACGUCGUGAGACAGUUCGGUCCCUAUCUGCCGUGGGCGCUGGAGAACUGAGGGGGGCUGCUCCUAGUACGAGAGGACCGGAGUGGACGCAUCACUGGUGUUCGGGUUGUCAUGCCAAUGGCACUGCCCGGUAGCUAAAUGCGGAAGAGAUAAGUGCUGAAAGCAUCUAAGCACGAAACUUGCCCCGAGAUGAGUUCUCCCUGACUCCUUGAGAGUCCUGAAGGAACGUUGAAGACGACGACGUUGAUAGGCCGGGUGUGUAAGCGCAGCGAUGCGUUGAGCUAACCGGUACUAAUGAACCGUGAGGCUUAACCUUACAACGCCGAAG
rnacentral:rRNA from 1 species